GAAGUGGCGUCGAUCGGGAAAAGUAGCCGGUCAGGCGAGCCUCCAGAGAGCCGGGGAUGGUGAGAACCCGGUGGCGGCGCGGCUGGUGAAUGGCCCCGGGAGCUUCGAAGGCGAACGCGCGAGCAAGUAGCUUUCGACGGAGUGGCACCGUUAUCAGAGCCUGAGCCUUCGUGUGCGUCCGCGCGCGGUGGCAACGAGUGUCGCGGCGUCUCGCUGCGAAACAAAGGUGGCACCGCGAGCUUCCCCCUCGUCCUUUGA
rnacentral:ncRNA from 1 species